GUGGGGAAUCUUCCGCAAUGGACGAAAGUCUGACGGAGCAACGCCGCGUGAGUGAAGAAGGUUUUCGAAUCGUAAAGCUCUGUUGUCAGGGACGAGCAGGGGGGGUAUCAACAACACUUCCUCAUGACGGUACCUGACGAGGAAGCCACGGCUAACUACGUGCCAGCAGCCGCGGUAAUACGUAGGUGGCGAGCGUUGUCCGGAAUUAUUGGGCGUAAAGGGAGCGCAGGUGGGAAAGUAAGUCUGCUUUAAAAGUGCGGGGCUCAACCCCGUGAGGGAGUGGAAACUAUUUUUCUUGAGUGCAGGAGAGGAAAGCGGAAUUCCUAGUGUAGCGGUGAAAUGCGUAGAUAUUAGGAGGAACACCAGUGGCGAAGGCGGCUUUCUGGACUGUAACUGACACUGAGGCUCGAAAGCCAGGGGAGCGAACGGGAUUAGAUACCCUGGUAGUCC
rnacentral:rRNA from 1 species